AUUGAACGCUGGCGGCAGGCCUAACACAUGCAAGUCGAACGGUAACAGGAAGAAGCUUGCUUCUUUGCUGACGAGUGGCGGACGGGUGAGUAAUGUCUGGGAAACUGCCUGAUGGAGGGGGAUAACUACUGGAAACGGUAGCUAAUACCGCAUAAUGUCGCAAGACCAAAGAGGGGGACCUUCGGGCCUCUUGCCAUCGGAUGUGCCCAGAUGGGAUUAGCUAGUAGGUGGGGUAACGGCUCACCUAGGCGACGAUCCCUAGCUGGUCUGAGAGGAUGACCAGCCACACUGGAACUGAGACACGGUCCAGACUCCUACGGGAGGCAGCAGUGGGGAAUAUUGCACAAUGGGCGCAAGCCUGAUGCAGCUAUGCCGCGUGUAUGAAGAAGGCCUUCGGGUUGUAAAGUACUUUCAGCGGGGAGGAAGGAAGUAAAGUUAAUACCUUUGCUCAUUGACGUUACCCGCAGAAGAAGCACCGGCUAACUCCGUG
rnacentral:rRNA from 1 species